AAUCCAAAAAAUUCUAAAAAAAGAAUUCUUAAAAUUCGUGUUUUGACAGAGAAAUCAACAAGCAAAGUCGCUUUAUACAUAGAAAGUUCGAGAAAAAGUAAGAAAAUACAUGUUUAACAAUAAGUGUAUAAUGAUGUAAAUUUUGUAUCAACUUGUAUCUUGAAUGUGUAAUAAUGCAUAGGGGAAAUAAAAAUUAAAAAAAGAAAGAGAAGAAAAAGAAAUGAAGACCCAAGACCAGCAUUAAUCAAACUCAUAUCAAACCAACAUUCUGGAUUCAAGUUACUACAAACUUCUCCAACAAUUUUAAUUACACUCAGUAAAAACAAGCCAGAUUUUCAGAAAUUUUCUUAAAUUCAAACGAAGAAACUGAAAUUAAAAGGUGAAAAUCCCUUUUGAUUUUUCUCAUCGGAUAUUGCAAUCUAAACUAAAAAUUAGAACCGAGAAUACCUUUAUAUCUCCUUUUGAAUAUUAGGAAGUAAUUUUUUUUUAUCUAUUGUGUUUUGAAGCGGUUUUCGAUUUUGGUAUAUGUGGGGUUAAUAGUGUAAGAGAAGUGAAGAUCUGUUGGCCACAUGUACGGUAAUUGGUUUCACGAUGGCCCACGAUAGAACAAUGGUUAAAGAAGGACAACGACAAUGCUUAUGGUGGUAUUAUGGGUGAUUUUCUUGGUGACGAAGGAGGAAAAGAUGGUUGGCUGGUGGGUAUUGGUAGGUGGAAGUGGGGAAAUGAUGGAGAAGAAGGGAGAUCGACGAUGGCUUCAAGGGCUGUUUGUUAGCAGCUAGGGUUAAGAGAUUGUUUAAAGGGUGAUAUAAUUUUUACAUGUCAUUUAUCAUAUGGUCUAGUUUUGAUAGCAUUUCAAAAUAUCAAUCAAUUUUGAUAGUGUUGGUGUUUCAAUUGUAUUUACUAGUAAUUAAUUCAAAAACUUACCAGGUGUUGUGUCAAAUCAAUAGAUUAGCAUAAAGAGUAAAUAAAAGUGAGAAUACAUGUUGGAUAUAAAAGGUUAUUUGGAAACAUGUGUGCAAACUAUACGGGGGUAAUUUCAUUUGUACCUUUGAGCAAUCUUCAUUAAUCUAAGAAAUUGCAAUGAGUGUAGUGUGUUGAUUCUUCCACUCCGGGGCAGCCAACCUCAUUCUCAAACUCGGCGCUAUGAAAAAAUAAAUUUAUCAUCAAUAUUAAACAUCUUCAACUAAAAUACCUGUAACACCCCUCAAAAUUUUCUCAAAGAUUCGGACCCUUCUUGUGUUCGGGAGGGGGGUUGAACCCGAGUAUCUUGAAGUAUAUUCGUGAGUUAAGAUGAGUCUCUGAGGGACUGAGCAGUGUUAGAGGUGAUGCGGGGUCACCAAGGACCCCUAGGGCCGAGCUUAGUCCAAAAGAUCCAUCGUGACUAAGUUUAGGAUGAGUUCGUAUAAGGGUCGACUUUUAAUGACCCUAUCUUCUGAAGGACGUCAAUCUGGGUGGCCCACGACCUAUCAAAUUAAAGGUCGUCGAGUCUUCUUUCCAACGCCACCAAGAACGUAAAUUUUGGAGUUCGGAAUCAAAAGAUAUGACGAUCCUAAGAUGAACUAGCACGGCAGGAAUUUUAUUUUUGGCCUGGGUUGCAACUGCUGGGGGAAAUAGCCUUGGCACUAUAAGGGUGCGACGCGCCACUAUCGCGCCAGGAACAUGCCUCAGUAGUUUGGUCCCUGGCGCGAUGCGCCACUAAAAGUUGUGUAGGGUUUUUCAGGCCAAUUUUCAAGAAUCCAGAAACUUUGGCCUUGGCGCCAGGAACAUGCCUCAGUAGUUUGGUCUCUGGCGCGGCGCGCCACUACGAGGUGUGCAGGUUUUAGGCGAAUUCAGCCUGGCGCUGCAAUGGCGCGAUGCGCCACUAUCGCGCCAGGUGCAUUUUUAGCCUAUUUUCAGAACUUUUGAGGAGGGGCAAUUUGGGAACUUACCCAAAUUAUAUAUAUGUUACCCUUGGUCUUUUGGGAACACAUUUUGCAGCCUCACCCUCUCUUUAAAAAGCCCUAGCUUCUCUCUCUUUUCUUCUUCUUCUCCAUUCUCAACAAAGAGUUGUCCCAAGAGCUUCAAGAUUUGAGUCCUCCAUUGAAGACCCAACAUCAAGGUUUUCUCCAAGUCUUCACUAAGGUAUGUAAGGCUAUCCAAAACAUGGGUUGAGUCCACCCAUGUGCCCUAUUCUUGCUUUGAGGUUAGAUGUUCAUGAAAAUAGAGUUUCUUGGUAUGGUUUAUGCUUGUAUGAACUUUGUCCCCUAUUUAUUUGAUUCUAUAUGUGUCAAUGUUGUUGAGCUAAGAGGUUCCAAAAAUGAGCCCUUAUGUGAGUAUGAGUUGAUGAAGAAAUGAGUUGUGAAAUAUGUUUUAUCUAUCUUCUUAACUAUGUAGAUUGUGAUAAAGGAUGUUAUUUUCUUGAAAAUGUUGUUCAAUAUGAAAUGUCAAUUUAAAGUCUUGAAAUUGUGAUAAGCCUCAAAAGGUUUCUCAAAUAGAUGAAAGAAAUGAUUGAUUACAUCUAGACGAUGCUACAUAUGUGCAUUUAAAUUUCUUUGAAUGAUAUGCUUGAGAUUGAUCGGAUAGUACGAUUGAGAAAGAUGUGAUUGUGAUAGAGUUGAUGAGAUGACAAGGUUGUAACGAGACUUGUCGAUAUGAGUUGAUUGAGUUGAUUGGAUGGAGUUUUAUGAGCAUUGAGUCUUGGGAGGAGUAUCGAGCACCAAAUUGGGAAAGAGUAUAGUCCAUACUCGAACCCAAUACCUAUGUUGCCAAACGUAGGGGGGAUUGAACCGUUAAAGUCGAAUGCUUCCCCGAGAGAU